GCCUGGUUGGCUCAGUCAGUUAAGUGUCAGACUUUUAAUCUCAGCUCAGGUCUUCUUCUCAGGGUGGUGAGCUCGAGCCUCACAUUGGGCU
rnacentral:tRNA from 1 species